rnacentral:rRNA from 1 species
UUAGAGUGCUCAAAGCAGGCUACAUGAAUGGCCUGAAUGUCUAUGCAUGGAAUAAUGGAAUAGGACCUCGGUUCUAUUUUGUCGGUUUUCUUCGGAACCCGAGGUAAUGACUAAUAGAAACAGGCGGGGGCAUUCGUAUUGCAACGCUAGAGGUGAAAUUCUUGGACCGUUGCAAGACGAACUACUGCGAAAGCAUUUGCCAAGGAUGUUUUCAUUAAUCAAGAACGAAAGUUAGAGGUUCGAAGGCGAUCAGAUACCGCCCUAGUUCUAACCAUAAACGAUGCUGACUAGCGAUCCGCCGGCGUUAUUCCCAUGACCGGCGGGCAGCUUCCGGGAACCAAAGUCUUUGAUUCCGGGGGAAGUAUGGUUGCAAAGCUGAAACUUAAAGGAAUUGACGGAAGGGCACCACCAGGAGUGGAGCCUGCGGCUUAAUUUGACUCAACACGGGAAACCUCACCAGGCCCGGACACCGGAAGGAUUGACAGAUUGAGAGCUCUUUCUCGAUUCGGUGGGUGGUGGUGCAUGGCCGUUCUUAGUUGGUGGAGCGAUUUGUCUGGUUAAUUCCGAUAACGAACGAGACUCUGGCCUAUUAACUAGUCGACGGAUCUCCAUUAAUUGGUGUCCAGUUCGCUAACUUCUUCUU